rnacentral:misc_RNA from 1 species
UCGAGAACCGAUCGAGAGAUCGCGAACCUGUAAACGGAUGACACUAUGUCGGGUGGGCGUUAUGCCCGCCCUACUCGGGACCUCGCAUCGUGUCUGCGAUUGCCUCCUGGGGUGUAGGACACAAUUUUCGGGGGAUGAACGAAACCCCGGCGCGGCCUGCGCCAAGGAACAUAUGUCAGGACGGACGUGCAUCAACGCCUAUGUGGUGGGAUGACGUUCGCUCAAUAUC